ACUAGCAGCCAUAUCACCCUGCAACUCACAACUGGCAACCCACUGAAUCUAAGCAGGUGUGAGCCUGAUCAGUACCUGGAUGGGAGACCUCCUGGGAAAAACUAAGGUUGCUGCUGGAA
ensembl:rRNA 5S_rRNA 5S ribosomal RNA